CGGGGCGUAGCGCAGCCCGGUUAGCGCACCUGGUUUGGGACCAGGGGGUCGCAGGUUCGAAUCCUGCCGCCCCGA
rnacentral:tRNA from 4 species